GCAGUAAAAAUCCACCUCGUAAACAAAAUGUGUGAAAAUACAGUGCGACGAAAAUACACUUCAAAAUUUUGGUGUUGCUGAAGAAGCCACUUUCUUGCGGUGGCAUGGUGCGUCAAAUUCUCCGGCGAUCGAUGGUGACCUGGGGCACAGCGUAUCAUAUUUCCUGCAUAACCCCGAGCAAAAACGAGAUUUAUCUUCGCCUCAGAACUAUUCAAAGUCUGCUUUGGACUGCCACCACCCAGGUUUCCAGCAAAUCACAGUUCUGCCGCAGGGCUUCUCUCUGUGUGUACCUCUAGAUGUUUCUGAGUACUUAAUCGUUUAUGAAUGCCAAGAUGCAUGCACAAGUAUCUGCCUCCUGAAUUGGGUGUCUUCGUCUGCGUUCGCUUUCCACGCAUUUUCCACAUGAAGAAAGGAGCUUCUUUGCCGCUAGUGUCGAGUUAGCCUUCGUGUAUGGACGCGUGUAUCCAGUCUGCCACUUGUUCCUUUUACUUCUGCAACCGUAUGGCGACACAGUUCGCGGGAUUGUAUCUUUUUGAAAAAAGAAACACGCGGAUUGAAACCGAGCCGGGGAUCGCGCAUCUUUCUCCCGACUAUACAGUCGAACAUGCAUCGCCUCCAUAAAUGAAAUGCAACGACAAGCGUAAAUGCGGGAAGACCGCCCAGAUAUCAUCCGGAAAAGCAGGCGGCGCCCGUGUUUCCCUUGAUACGACACUUCACCGAAAACCGUAGGGAACCGCAGCAAGACCAAAAUCGAAUUCAGCUGACAACGAAGACCCGAACAAAAAUGAUUUCUCCCGUAGACCGGCGUGGAUUUCAGGCCAGCCACCCGGAGCAGCUUGGCACCCAAGGCGGGGUAAAUUUGGGCUGACUUAAAAUGAGUGAAGCAAAGUUCGAACUCUUUGCGCGAGACGAAGGGAAAAAACAGACAGAAGCCAGAGAGAAACCCGUAUAGUGACUGAAAGGUGUCAGAGGACCCGCCUCACAAAAUGUUUUGAAUCUCAAGGCUGUCGGCUUCGGCAGAGCGGGGAAGGUUGUCCACUCGGCGGAGUUGAAUCUGCAAACAGACACCGUGGUAAACAGCAUCGUACACGCAUCACAUGAAUACGCGCGUAAAGCUUUUCCAGAGACACACACGGAAAAGUCUGUUGUCUUCCGUCCAUGUAUAAAUGACCCUCGGGACUGUAAAACCAAUCCAGAACCUUUUUUUUAUGUGCGACGAC
rnacentral:lncRNA from 1 species